rnacentral:lncRNA from 10 species
UUUCUCUUGCCACCACCAUAUAAGAAGUGCCUUUCACCUCCUGCCAUGAUUCUGAGGCUUCCCCAGCCAUGUAAAACUGUAUAAAAUAAGUUCAACACUGGCAACCAUCUGAUAACCACAGAGAAAUGAGACUGAGGAUAAAACUAAUCUAAAGAGGAUACCAACGAAGCUGUAACCCUCCAGUUACAUAAACCAGUGUCCUGAGGGAGAAGCUGGUGCCCUUUAUCACACAGCUAACAACGCUCCUGGCCCAUGGAUCAGAGAAGUUGAAGGAAAAUACAGAGGAAGUUCUAACAGUGGCAGACCUAAUUACUGCACCAUGCCAAGCAGGUAAUCCAGCAGAAGAAAGGAAUGGAAUCUGAGCUAACCUACCAUGUUUGUACUGGAAGUCCUGCCAACAGCAUUUAAGGAGGCCUGGAGUGGUGACAGUUUGAGACAAGGACAAGAGCACCAGACUUCAGAACUUGACAUCCACAAAAUGUAAAUAAGAUGAAAGUUCAGCUCUGUCAUUUGACAUAUGAGUUCCGCCCUCUGCCCCUACUCCUAGCAACUCUCUGAGCCUCAGCUCUGCCUUCAGUAAGUCGUUCCUUUCCAUAAUAGGACAGUGGGAAGAUUUUUUGCUCAUAAAGAACAUGACUAUAGCUAUUGAUUUCUGGGAAAUGUUAAAACAACAAGGUUUUCAAUUCCUUUGUUGACAAGUGAAAAUAUUUUCUUUGUUAACUAAUGUUUCAGAACUGGGCUUUCUAUAUUGAAGAAAAAUUAAUGAAGAAAAAUAAAUCAAUUUUACAAAAUGUCCCUGAAAAAUUCUACCCCAAACUGUCCUGAGAUUUGCUAGUCAGCAAGCUUAACAUACAAUUUGAAAAAGAAAUAUGAGGUUGAAUCCCCAAGACAGUAAAAGAGUAGACAUCACGGGAGGACAUUAUUC